rnacentral:tRNA from 2 species
CGGGGUAUAGCGCAGCCUGGUAGCGCACCUGCUUUGGGAGCAGGGGGUCGUGGGUUCAAAUCCCCCUACCCCGACCA